UCUUUUUCCCCCAUAUGGUGCGCUGAAAACAAAUUCCCCCAAAUGAAGAGAAAUCCCCAAAUUCGUCGUCUCUUUCUCUCUCGCUCUCUCUCCUUCCUGCGUAUGCCCUCACACCCAUACUCAAUUUCUUCCACAUUUAUUGUCUCUGGUGAUACACCAUAGCUGAGGUACAUCGACUCUCUCUCUCUCUCUCUCUCUCUCUCUCUCUCUCUCUCGGAACAUCGCGUAUGUAUAGGUGGACUGAGAUUCUCAGUUCGAGGGUUUGGGAUUUUGUUUGGUUGCUUAGAAAUUAGGGUUUCAAGAAUUGGGGGAGGGUUUAGCAGUGGUUCUGAGCCAUCGGGUAUAUAUGUUUCGUCCCCCAUACUCCAUUCUCUCUCUUUGCGUAUAUGUAUCCAUGUACAUAUGUACAUAACUCUGUAUAUCUGUUAUUCCUAAAUUCAAAGUUUUGAACUCUAUUUUUUUCAUCCCGUAUGAUGCAUUUGCAAUCUUCUUUGGAAUCGGAUCUACACUCAUCUGAGGCAUGUUCAUGGUGGAAAGGGGUUAUGCAUCCGUACUCUGUUAUAUGAAGGGGUUUCUUAUUUUCGAUUCAAAUGCUUUCGGAAAUUUCGUACAGAUGGUGGUGUAUAUGCAUUUUUAUGCUGAACCACGCAUACUAGGCAGAGAUGCCAUGGUUGUGCCCUCGCCUGAGUGACGUUCUUGAAGGCUGUUUAAUGUUCUCUUCUACUCAUUUCUUCUACGCUGCUUGCUUUUGCUGGCAAGGCUCACAGCUGGGCCAUCCUGGACUUGAACCAUAGACCUUGCUCGUGAAGUAAAUCAUCGCACCUACGGUCCAACCAAUUGGCAGAGAAUCAAUAGAUUCAUUUUCGGAAGCGAUUCAUCCUUAUGUCCCGCCCAAGAAAGAGACCCAAGUCCUAGCCGAAUUUACAGACAGGCAUUUUGCCUUCAUUUUGGUAACAAAUGUUGUAUAUAUCUAAUAACAAUAAUAAUACUUAAUUUGUAAUAGCAGGCUCAAGGCAUUGUGCCUUCAUUUUGUUACCUAAUGGUUCAUUUUGUGCCUCCAAUUCCUUUCUGUUGGGCCUCAAUUGCAUGCCUCGCAUGCAAUCUCCUCACUAGUAUGAAAUAAAGAGGCAGUGCUAAUUUUUUUCUUUAGUUCAUUUUAUGAGUUGUAAAUACUAUCCCCUUUUUUGGCCACCGAUUGGCCUUUAGUGUUGGCAUUUCCAGUGCUCCUCUUUUCCAUGUUGUGACACCAGUCGUCUUUAGUUAACACAAAUUUGCAUCAUUUUGUUUUUGGUCAGGAAGAAGAGUUGAAAGGUGCAGUUGUUCGUAUUUGCAAACAAGUAGAUUGAAUAUGCAUAAGGUUGGUAGCGGGGAAGAUGGUAUAUAUACGCUCUUCUAUGAAGACUUUGUUUGGAUAUAUGUUUCUAUGAAGACUCCUUUUUUGGAUGAAGGUUCGAGUCUUCUUUUUUGGAUAUAUGCUUCUAUGAAGACUCCAUUUUUGGAUGAAGUUCCAAGUCUUCUUUUCUGGAUACAUGCUUUUAUGAAGACUCCUUUUUUGGUGGAAGUUCUGAGUCUUCUUUUUUCAUUUUAAUGAUGCUACCGAACUAUGAUGAACAUAUAUGGUAUGAUCUACCUUUUAUGUUUUUGUCAUGGGAACAUUGAUGCUUUAGAUCCUAUGGUUGAAUGGACAUUUGGUGUAGAAUACAUAGUUCUUGUGGUUAAUGGAUGUCUAAUUUGACACAUGAUUAUAUUGGUUUAUGAAGAUGUGUUGGCUAUUA